UACGUAGGGCGCAAGCGUUGUCCGGAAUUAUUGGGCGUAAAGAGCUCGUAGGUGGUUUGUCGCGUCUGCCGUGAAAGCCCGGGGCUUAACUCCGGGUCUGCGGUGGAUACGGGCAGACUAGAGGCAGGUAGGGGAGAACGGAAUUCCCGGUGUAGCGGUGAAAUGCGCAGAUAUCAGGAGGAACACCAGCGGCGAAGGCGGCGCUCUGGGCUGGAACUGACGCUGAGGAGCGAAAGCGUGGGGAGCGAACAGG
rnacentral:rRNA from 1 species